AUUCCAGCUCCAAUAGCGUAUAUUUAAGUUGUUGCAGUUAAAAAGCUCGCAGUUGGAUUUCGGGUGAGGAUGACCGGUCUGCCGUUGCGGUACGCACUGGACGUUUUCAUCUUGUUGUCGGGGACGCGCUUCUGGGCUUCACUGUUCGGGACGCGGAGUCGGCGCUGUUACUUUGAAAAAAUUAGAGUGUUCAAAGCAGGCAAUCGCUCUGAAUACAUUAGCAUGGAAUAACGCUAUAGGACUCUGGUCCUAUUGUGUUGGUCUUCGGGACCGGAGUAAUGAUUAAGAGGGACAGUUGGGGGCAUUCGUAUUUCAUUGUCAGAGGUGAAAUUCUUGGAUUUAUGAAAGACGAACUUCUGCGAAAGCAUUUGCCAAGGAUGUUUUCAUCG
rnacentral:rRNA from 1 species